UUUCGGUUUUCUGCUUUGAAAUUUAUUUUUCAAAUAGUUGCUGGCAGCUAAGUUGGGUCCAGGACCUUAGAGCUGACAUUAUGUUGGCUCUGCUUUUAAAAUACACCCGCAGUUCAGUCACUUGUCACUUCUACCACCACCCUGCCCCAGCCUUUCUUCCUCACCCAGACUGCUGCAAACCGCUUAGCUUUCACUCUUCUCUUCCUACAGUAUGCACAGGAGUUUUGCUUUCCUGCGCUGCUCUUCAGUUCCCCGUGCCAGUAGUGGUUUGGUCUGGAAUCAGUUGACCCUCCUGACCUACCCUCAGAAGAUCAACGGGAGCCUGAUGCUGCAUCACAAUGCCUAUGUCAUUCACCUACCUCACUGCAUCCCAUCGCUAAGCGUGUUUAUCAUGUCACAUCAUCACAAGAAGGCACUUUAAAGAAGUUUAAUGUCUUCUGACCAUCAUGGUUUCGGAUGAGGAACAUCAGUCAUUUGAAUUGUUCUUAUUCAAGUAAUGUGUCAUUUUACCUGGCCGAUUUCAAGAUUUUUAAAAUGUAUCUUUGGUAUCCAG
rnacentral:lncRNA from 1 species